GAAUUUUGUGCUUGGGUCUCAAAAUGCUGCAGUUGUUGCGAUUCGUGCUCCAUAUGGAAACGCGAUUUAAAUGCUGUUUAGAGUUUGAAAUAAUCUUUGAUAAUAUUAGAUGUCUUUGGCGCACGAUGUGGCAACUCCUCACAAUCUGGAAAACCUUGUUUUCAUAAAAUGACAGCAUUCAAUUAACAUAAGAAACAAAGGACUUGCACGGGGUGCAAGCACUUAAGAGUUUGUUAUGGAAAGACCAAUGAACAUGCUGAAGAACUCUGGCAUCUGUAAAGGAAUACUGAAGGUGUCUACAAGUAGCGAUUGAUAGAAAAAAUAAUAUAGCCGAAGAUUUUGUCAAACUUGAGCCAGCAAUUUGAUCACUUGGCUUAUAGCGUACGCAUCGCGACAGUUGGAGCAUUUUGAGAAGCAAACACUUAAAUCUUUGGAUUGUGUACUGAAUAAUUAAUUAAAUGUAAAUUACAUCA